rnacentral:rRNA from 1 species
UACGGAGGGUGCGAGCGUUGUCCGGAAUCACUGGGCGUAAAGGGCGCGUAGGCGGCGCGGUAAGCGGGCGGUGAAAGCCCGGGGCUCAACCCCGGGUCGGCCGUGCGGACUGCCGCGCUGGAGCACUGUAGAGGCGGGUGGAAUUCCGGGUGUAGCGGUGGAAUGCGUAGAGAUCGGGAAGAACAUCGGUGGCGAAGGCGGCCUGCUGGGCUCUUGCUGACACUGAGGCGCGACAGCGUGGGGGAGCAAACAGG